AUUGAACGCUGGCGGCAGGCCUAACACAUGCAAGUCGAGCGCGAGGCGGACGGGGGAGUAAUGUAUGGGGACUGCGCGAGAGCGGGGGAUAACUACUGGAAACGGUAGAUAAUACCGCAUACGAUCGGAUAACCCAUAUGGGAUUAGCUAGUAGGGGAGGUAAUGGCUCACCGAGGCGACGAUCCCUAGCUGGUCUGAGAGGAUGAUCAGCCACACUGGGACUGAGACACGGCCCAGACUCCUACGGAGGCAGCAGUGGGGAAUAUUGCACAAUGGGCGCAAGCCUGAUGCAGCCAUGCCGCGUGUAUGAAGAAGGCCCUCGGGUUGUAAAGUACUUUCAGUCGGGAGGCGUUACCGACAGAAGAAGCACCGGCUAACUCCGUGCCAGCCGCCGCGGUAAUAC
rnacentral:rRNA from 1 species